rnacentral:miRNA from 1 species
AGCAGCCCUGUGAUAGCUGUUUGC